CCACAAGCCACCCAGGCAUGGAAGAAUGGGAUUGAAAGAGGUCAGACUCAGGAGAGGACUCCAGGCCAACAAAGUCAUGGUGCCUGGUAACAAGAUACAUUUAGCCACACCAAACUGUGACCUCUGCUUUCUCCUUUGGCUAAGUGUCCCUCAUGUUGGAUCCAGUCCUCAGCAGGAGCCAUAAUUCCUCAGCAGAUGAUUUCCACAGCCUUGGGAGAUCGGCAGAAGCCUCCUCUCUGCAGGACACUGUAGACUGGACUAGAGGAAGGGAGAGUUGACAUGGAGCUGCAGGAUACAAGUAAAGGUGGACAAGCUUGUAAUUGGAAAGAUCCACUUUGUGACAAUGAUCAGUAACUUUUGAUGCUGUCAACCAUGCUGAGAGACAAGAACAAUCAGACAAUGGUGAUGGGAGGUUAAGAUUUUCAACAGUAAGCCUGAUUGGCAGGAGGGAAUGCCUGGGCCCUUGGCUGAUGUGUCUUACUAUGUGAAAGCCAGGGUCACCAAAGGUUCAUGCUGCCCCUAACUCAUUCUACCAGGGAGGCUGAAGGAAUUACAAGAUGGCCGAGGUUUAGAAAAAAUACUGGAAUUCCCUAAUCCCUGCCAUGCACUUUCCUCUGGGGACCAGAUUUACCAGCAAGAAGCAAAUCUCUGCAUCAGCCCAGCUUGUGAUGAGAUUAGAGUUAGGGUCCUGCUCUGUGGGAGUGAGAGAGACUAUUACCUGGGGCUUAAAUUCAGUUCUAAGGUUUAAUAUGUUGGAGACAUACACCCAAUUCUGCA
rnacentral:lncRNA from 1 species